rnacentral:sRNA from 21 species
UCGACUCGGUAUUGAUGGCGACGUCAGUGAAAACUGGCGUUGGAGGUAGUCUGACAACAGUCAGGACGGUGUAAACCGCGAACAGCUCGGAGAGCUGGGGUGCCUCGUAAGAACUCAACAUUUCGCCACCCCGAUGCACAGAUAUCAGUCG